GGCUACACACGUGCUACAAUGGGUAGAACAGAGAGUUGCAAAGCUGUGAAGUGGAGCUAAUCUCAGAAAACUAUUCUUAGUUCGGAUUGUACUCUGCAACUCGAGUACAUGAAGUUGGAAUCGCCAGUAAUCGCGAAUCAGCAAUGUCGCGGUGAAUACGUUCUCGGGUCUUGUACACACCGCCCGUCACACCACGAGAGUUGGUUGCACCUGAAGUAGCAGGCCUAACCGUAAGGAGGGAUGCUCCGAGGGUGUGAUUAGCGAUUGGGGUGAAGUCGUAACAAGGUAUCCGUACGGGAACGU
rnacentral:rRNA from 1 species